rnacentral:tRNA from 7 species
GCGCUCUUAGCUCAGUUGGAUAGAGCAACGGCCUUCUAAGCCGUGGGUCGCAGGUUCGAAUCCUGCAGGGCGCGCCA